UUCCCUGACGAGGGAUGGAACCUGGGCCCCCUGCAUUGGGAGCGUGGUGUCUAAACUGCUGGGCCACCAGGGAAGUCUCUAGGAAGUAAGUACUCUUAUUCCCAUCCUCACAUACAAUGAAACUGAGGCUCAGAAAAUUUGUCACAUGUCCAAGGUCUUAUAGAACUUUGAUUCACAGACUGAUUCAUUCCUUCAAUAAAUACGUGUCAAGCACCUGCUGUAUGCCGGCAUUUACCUAGCAGCUGGAGGCUUUAGGUCAAUGAAGGUUAAUUUACCAGAAGUCCGAGACUCCAUGUCAAACCCACUGAAUGUGUCUUUUGGUGAAUUGCCUGCCCCUGAGGAAACAGGUGGACCCCUGCCCUUGUGGAGGUUACAGUCAGGUGGGGAGACAGGCUUUCAGAAAACAAUCACACAAGUCAAGAUGAACUUCCCACUAUGGUAAAGGCUUGGGCUGGAAUGGGGGCUUAUUCCAGCUAGACUGGCAGGUCAGAGAAGGCUUCCUAGGGGUGGUGAUGCUGCAACUGAGAUCUUGGGGAAGUGAGGGAAGCAGCCUGGUUGAGAGGGAAGAGCAGGUGGGGCAGGGAGUAGGGUGAGUUCCAAGGAGCAAGAGAAGACAGCAGAUGUGAUGGGAGCUCCUGAGCCAGGUAAGGGCUGAAGAACACAGAAGGCUGUGAGGUAGAUGUAUACUCUUGGUCAGGUUGUAUGCACUGAGGUCCUCUGGGCUCUGUAAGGCAAAGCUGGGUAUUGGUAGAAGGAGCCAGGGUGGGAAGCAGUGCUUUGAAUAAAGCCCUGUGAGCUGAGGGAGUCUAGAGACGUGCAGGAGGUCAGGGAGGAUGGAGCUGGAUCUUUAAAAGCAGGGGAUGGGCCUCCAGGGAACUGACAGAUGAAGAAGGCAAACCCUUGGAAUCAUCUGUGAUCCCCUUUCUCUCACACUUCCCACAUUUUAUCCUUGAGCUCAUCCUAUUGGCUUUACUGGCACAAAACGCCCAGAACUCUUAUCACCACCUCCACUGCUCCCUAUACGCAGCCACCAUCUACCUGCACCCAGAUUAUUGCAAUAGCCUCCUAAUGUUUCUCUCUGCUCCUGCUCUUGACCCUAACAGUCUGUUCUUGGCACCACAGACAGAGUGAUACUUUUAAAACAUAAAUCAGAUCAUGCCUAAAACCCUCUGGUGGAUUCUCAUCUCGUUCAGAUAAAAGCUAGUCCUUACAAAGAUCAACAAGGCCCACGCAAUCUGCACUUCCCCCAUUCCUGUCUUUGCUAAGGUAGCUCCUCUGGCCUGUUUGCUAUUCCUAGAACACACCAGGUAUAGACCCACCCCAGAACCUUUGUACUUUGCAGUUGCUGUUCCCCCUCCCUGGAAUGCUGUUCCCCCGGAUGGGUGCUUGCUCACUCCCAUACUUCCUUUGAGUCUUUGCUCCAACUCACUUUGGUGGCGGCUGAGGCAGUAAGACCUCCUCUGACCCCCCUAUUUUAAUUACAGUCCCCCCAGAAGGAUGCUGUCCCUUCCUCUUACUGCUUGGUUUUGUUCUAUUGCAUUUCUUUUCUUUUAAAAAUACUUAUUUUAGAGUCUUAGUUGCUGCACUCAGGAUCUUUCGGGCACAGGCUUCUCUGCAGCUUGGCUACCCUCCUUCCCUGCUACACAGCGGCAUGUGGGAUCUCAGUUCCCAGAUCAGGGAUGGAACCUUGUCCUCUGUAUUCCAAGGUGGAUUUUUAACCAAUGGACCACCAGGGAAGUCCCAUAUUUCUUUUUUCUAACAAGCAUUUUAACUUACUAAUUUAUCUUUUCUGGGGUCUGCUUUCUCUCACUAAAUGAAUGCUCCACAAGAGCAGGGACUUUUGUCCCUUUUGCUGUCUGUUACAUCCUUGCACCUGGACCAGUGCCUCCAUGUCAUCGGUGCUCAGCCAGUAUGGUAAGAAGGGACACCUCACCACCUAGCGAGGCAUAGAGCAAGGCUCCAAAGAGAAUACCGUUUCUGGGCUUAGCUGUUUUUAAUUUUUUAUUUCAUUGACUCCUAACACCAGCCCUUUGUGGUGACCACUAUGAUUGGCCCAUAUUACAGAGGGGAAAGCUGAGGUUCAGAGAGGUGGUGAAGUAGGGGUAGAGGUGGGCAUCCUUCAGAUCUCGAAGGACAGGCAUUGGUGCCAGAUGGGCUGGUGCCAGGUACCUCCAUGCACCAUCUACAGGACCUUGGACCAGCUUUUGUCCUCUCUGUUCCUCAGCGUGCUCAUCUACAAAAUGGGGUCAAUCAUAGUACCCACCUCCAAGGGCUGCUGGGCAGAUUCAGGGUAACAGUACAGGCACAUUACUUAGUGUGGGCCUCGUGGAAGGCACUCAAUAAUGUUAGCUGUUAUUAUUCUUGGAGCUGCACUCUGCUGCCUGAGUCAGAUCUUUGAGCCUCUCCCCACCCAGGGGUCUCCACAGAGCUUCCACAAGCGACCUCGGGUCAGCCCUGGGUUCUGACUCCAAAUGGCAGUGGCCAGGCUUGUCCAGUCCCAUUUGUUUAGGCAGAAUUUAAUUUCUCCCUAAGCUGAGAGUCCUUUGCCCCCUCCUGCCCUCUCUUGUGCUCUCAUCAGUGGGAAAAUGAGCUCUGGGAGCUUUCCCCUGGUCCAGAAAUCCAAGGUGAAGAAUUUCAUUAACAAUCAAGAGGACAUAAUCAACAUUCUAAUAAUUCCAGAUCCGUACUCCCCCUUUUGCAGCCCCCCCAAAAUGCCCCAGCCCCCUCCCCCACUCCACCCCAUUCCCAGCUCUCCCAGACACACUCACCUUGACAAAGAAAUCUCAUUUCCUCUCAAACCAAAUUCGCUUUGCUAUUAAAUUCAGCACCUUACCUUCUGUCCUGAAGAUGAGAGGAUGUACUCCAGACUUCCUAGACUUCUCCUGCUUCUGAAAGAGACAUGAAUGUGAGAGGUGGGAUCUGAUGGACUUGCUUCUCUUACACUUCCUGGAAGGUUCCAGGGUGAGGUGACACAGUUUCCCCCUAGGAAUUCAGGUCCUCUGCAUCCCACGGCCAGAGAAGCCGAACUUUUGGUGUGGGGAAGCAGGGUGCUCUGGUCAUCUCUUCUCUAGGACUGUGGAGGGAUUGAGGGCUUUUCAAUCUUUUGAAACUUGAAACAUCCUUUUCAAGUCACUGGCAUUUUAUACCCCACAAGGGCAUUCCUUCAAACCCAUCACUUCAGCACCUGGGAAGAUCCAGCCUGUACCACCUUCUGGCUGUUUGACCUUGGAUAAAUUAAUCUUUCUCAGCCUGUUUCCUUUCUGUAAAAUGGGGCAAUAAUGUAAUAAUGCCCAUCUUCACAGUCAUGGGGAGAAUGAGAUACUGCUUAGCAUAGUGCCUGAUAUGGGCUGGGCUCCAGUGUAGUCCUGGUCUGUCAUAGUGUCUUUGGCACUUGAACCCUGCACCCUGAUACCACCUCAUCUCUCACCUCACUCCUGCCAUCAUCCAUGUGGAGUACACAUUAUUCUUAUUGAUUCAGUGAAGCGCAGGACAUGAGUACAUUAACCAGGCAUUUAUAAUCCAUUGUGGUCAGAGUUGUGGCAGGUGAAGUUCUGGGGGCUUUGGAACCCGAAACGGGUGUCUAUGUGAUGGUCAGAGGCUCUGGCGGAAGCUGAGACCAGAGGAAUGAGGAGGGAUUUGCCUGGAGAGAGUGAGUGAGAGGGGCCUCUGAGCAUGGAAACUGUCUGUGAAACCGUCUGUGAAGAAACUGAGGUGAGAACUGCUGAAGGCAGGAGAGGAGAGAACUUUGGGGUGGAGGGGAGGGGGUGGUCAGGACCCAAGGCCAAAGUGGUAAACCCAGUCUUCGAAGCCACAAAGGGGAGUCUGGUUUUAUCCCCAAGGGUGUGGAACCACUGUUUAAGGACACCGAGGAGAGUAGUGCGCUGACUGUUCUCUAGAAACAUCUGUCGCUGCAACGUGGGAGGGAGCUGGGAGAGGGGCAAGGGUGGACGUGAAGAGAUGGGUGAGGGGAGGGUUGGGGUCUGGACUGCUGAAGGCUGGGGAAAUGGAGAAAAGCAGAAAUGUGCCUUCCAGAGACCGUGCUGGCCAGGCCUGGCACUGACUGACAGAGUGGAGGAGAUGACAGGCUGCUGAAGUUUGGCUUGAGCACCCACACCCACAGUGGGCACCUGACAGAGCCAUAAGGGCUGAGGGGAGAAUGGUCCCCCACAUGUGUGGGCCCCAAGGUGGAGGCUUCACGUGGCCCAGGUGCCUGUCUGGGAAGAUGCCUGAGGGAGCCCUGGGUUGCUAGAGGGAGGCCGAGGAGCGGAGCCCAGAGUGUGCCCCAACUCUGUGCAGCUGGGGCCCCAGGAUGCCCGGCUCCACAGAGCCUAUGGCGGGAAGUUUAAUUCUCUACUUGUGUGCGCGUCUGCGUGCGUGCCUGUGUGCGCAUGUUCAGUCGUUUCCGACUCUUUGUGACCUUAUAGGCUGUAGGCCUCCAGGCUCCUCUUGUCCAUGGGAUUCUCCAGGCAAGCAUACUGCAAUGGGUUGCCAUUUUGUUCUCCAAGGAAUCUUUCCGACCCAGGGGUGGAACAUGCGUCCCCUGCGUUGGCAGGCAGGUUCUGUGCCACUGGUGCCCCUGACCUCUGAAUCCUUCUGAAAUCCCUUUUGAGCCUGGAGUGGCCCUGGAGCACACUUCUCUGUGGUGGCUCCAUGGCAGGGCUGACGGCGCUUUCCUUGUGCUUCACACACUCCACAGACACACACACACACACACACACACACACACAGAGGAGAAGAGGGGAGAAAAUAUACCCCUCAGCUCCAUUCUCCGUGGCUGAGGCAGAGAUUGACCCCUUAGGGCUCAGGGGAGGGACAUUACUGUGCUCUGAGUGACACUGUGCUCUCCCUGCUGGAGCUUCAGCUGAGCAUCAAAUCUGCAGACUCCUUCCCUUCUGGCUUCUUCCUAGGGCACAGGGCUCUGCGUCAUCUCCCCAUCUGCAACAGGCGUGUAUGUGCAUGUUUGUGUGUCUCAGGGAAGAGAGGAGAUGGGGAAUGUCUAGGAAAAGAGGAGAGGAAGAAGGAAAGCCUUGCCUCCCUUUCCAGUGGGGACAGGAAGAGUGUGUUCCCAAGUCAGGAAGGAAGACAGAUGGUUAGAAGCCUCCUGGAAGGGUUCCCGCCCUCACCCCCUUGGCCCCCAUCCUUCCCCCAUAUGGCAGUCACAUUACUCUCCUGCCCCACAUUUUUCUAUAGCUCCUCAGUGCCCUCAGAGUCGUUACUGACAGGGUCUCCAUCCACACUCUAGCCUCUUAAGUUAACACCCUUCCCCUAAAGCCUCCAGGCCUCUUCCUACUGCUGUUCCCUGGGCUGGUCCAGCCCGCCCCCUCCACCCUACCCUUCUUUUUCAUUCUUUAGGUAUCAGAAACCCUGGAGCAUGGUUUCUCAGAUCCCACCUCCAAGCUAGAAAAGCUUCCUCCUUUGGGUACCCCAGGGCACCACUGGCCUCCUCUGUCCCCACCACAGCCUGUGCUUCCCCCAUCCUGGUUUUGAUCACUCAGGAGGCUGUGAGCUCUGUGAGGCCAGGAACUUGCCUUCUUAGAAUCCUCAAUGCCUGGCACCGUGCCCAGUAUUCCUUAAAUAUUAGUGGAAGGAAAACCCCAGGAAUUAUCAAAAUGGUAUUAUCUUUCUGGCUAGAAGCUAGUUGGAGAUCACCAGGACAACCUCGUGUUUUUGAGGCCCAAAAAGCGGAAUAGACUUGCUGAAGGUCACAGAGAGGGACUGGUUCAGCCAGGAAGAGAACUCAGGAGUCCUAAGCCUCAGACUCCUGCCCUCCCACAGUGGGAUCCUGGAGGAAGUGGAGGCAGCCCUGCAGGAAGUGGGGGUGGGGAGACAUGUUGGGAAGGGGCUCUGUCUGAGGAUGGCACAGCAGCAGCAUCAAUGGUGUUUGCACAAACGUGCAUGUGCUACACUUGACUGGCUGGGAGCCCCUUCCUGCCACCCCACUGUGAGGGGACCCAGCUCCCUGGAGAGAAGCUCCCUAGGACUGGGUGCUGGGGGUAUUGGGGAGGCUCAGAUUGGACUGGGGAUUUACGUCACCUCAGACGCCUGUGGAAGCUGAGAGUGGGUACCCAGGGGCCAAGGCAGGCACUGGGGAUGCAAUCACAGGCUAAUAGUCUCCCAACUUGAGAUGCAAUUAGGGGGGAUUCCCUGUGGGCUGGGAGGCAGCAGGGAUGGGCAGUUAGUUGUGUUGGCGAUGAGGGUGGGAGCCCAUCUCUGCAGGUCCUAGCUAAGGGUCAUAGAGGCCAGGAUGAGGCCACAGAUAGGUAAGGAGAUCUCCAAAUAGAAGGAAGGGUAGGGACACGGAUGCUAUUGAGGCAGAGGAGGGCCACGGAGGCGAAGCUCAAUCAUGAAGAUUAAUGGGGCAGGAUAUUAUCCAAGGAACCCAGUGUAACAAUGAAAGAACCAAGCCAACCAACUUAUAUCCUCAGUCUUUCUGAGUGGCUGUUUCCUUCCCUAUAUGAUAGAAAUAAUAAUAACAGAGUCUAUCUCAGAGGUGAAAGUACAAACAAAACAAAACAAAAAACAUGGGGAAUGUGGCAGCCUAGAUGGGAGGGGAGUUUGGGAGAGAAUGCAUACAUGUGUAUGUAUGGCUGAGUCCCUUUUCUGUUCACCUGAAACUAUCACAAUAUAGUUAAUCAACUAUACCCCAACACAAAAAAAUAAAAAAAAACCCAAACAUGUGGAGUGCAUAGCUCAGAACAUGGCCUUUAUUAAGUGUUUAGUAAACCAUCACCAUGAUGGAGGUUUAGAGGGGUGGUGUCACAUACUGGUAUACACACAAAAUUUGGAAUCAUACAGACCUGAGUUCAAAUCCCAGAUCCUCCAUUUAGAAUUUUAAUAACUUUAAGACUUACAGACUUGGAGAACAAACUUAUGGUUGUUGUGGGGAGGGAUGGGGGGAAGGGAUAGUUGAGUUUGGGAUGGACAUGUACACACUGCUAGAUUUAACACGGAUAGCCAACAAGGACCUACUGUAUAGCACAGGGAACUCUGCUCAGUGUUGUGUGGCAGCUUAAAUGAGAGGGGCAUUUUGGGGAGAAUGGAUACAUGUGCAUGUAUGGCUGGGUCCCUUGCUGUUUACCUAAAACUAUCACAACAUUAACAGCUGAUUAACAUAAUCAGCUAUACCCCAAUACAUAAUAGUUUAAAAAUAUUUAAAAAAUAAAAUUUAAAAAAAGAAGCUCAAUGACUUUAGGCAAAGACCAAGUCCCUGGUCUGCCAUCUAUAAACAGAAUGGCAGUACUUAACCUCACCAGGCCUAAGAGGAAGUUCAGUAGGAAACAUCAGCUGCCUUGGAAGUAGGUUCUCCCUAAUGGUAGUUCCCAGGAUGGAGUUGGGGUCACCCAUGGGCCCCAGACCACAGCCAAAUCUUUUGCCCCUAAGACCACAAGGCAGCUCUCUCUGAGCCCAGGGACCCCACCACCCUGGUGUGUCCAAGAAAAAGGUCUGCAGAGCAGGCUUCCUGCCGGAGCCUUAAGAGGGACCAACAGGAAAAUGUGUCUGUGGUCUGGAGGGUAAGUUCUGUUUAGAAACUGCCACUAGAUACACUGCAGCUGUGAGGAGCUGAGAGCCAGCUGGUAAAUUCAGUCCUACCAGAACUGCAGCCCCCAGGCCCAGCCUCACUUGGGGGCAUGGGGGAAGGGGGACGGGGGGUUGCCAAGCUCAUCCUGACUGGCCUUUAUUCAUCACUUUACAUCAGCUAGUGUAAUCCUCAUAAUAACCCCAUGAAGAGGCUAUUUUACAAAUAGGGAUACUGAGCUCAGAGAGAUGGUGUACCUCACCCCAGACUCCUUAACUAGUAAGUGUCAGUGUCAGGAUUAUAACUCACUCAAGAUUGCUCCAGAGCCUAGGUUUCACAGCCCAGCACCUCUGAGCUUCAGGGGGAAGCUUAGUUAACAGCUGGUGUCACAUAUCUCCAGCAGGAUCCCUGUUCUGGAUGUCUGGAGGAGUAUGUAGCCUGGCAGUGUUAACAAGCCCCUGGAUUCAGAGGCUGGUGGUCUAUGCACACUCAGGGAAGGCCCAGGCUGAUGUCAGGCUGGGCUGAGGCAGAGACCAGUGUCCAGCCUACCAGCUCAUUGACUGGGCUUAAGGUGGGAGUGCCCCAGCCACUGUGUUCCAGCCCCAUGGUCCCUCCCUAUCUGCCUGCCUGGCCAGGGAAUGAAUCCAGGUACUCUGAGAUAAAGAGGAAGUAUGGCCCCAAGGCAGGAGGAGGAGACAACAGAGGAUGAGAUAGUUGGAUGACAUCACUGACUUGAUGGACUUGAGUUUGACCAAGCCUUGGAAGUUUUUGAUGGACAGGGAAGCCUGGCGUGCUGCAGUCCAUGGGGUCGCAUCAAGAGUCAGACACGACUGAGCGACUGAACUGACAGCCCCAAACCUGCUGAGGUGGCUGCUUUGGGGUAAAUAUAAACCUGGGUUUCCUAGGCCCUGAAUGACUCAGCACAACUGAGCCCAAGGUUCUCCUCUCCUCUGUUGGUGGAGAAGGGAGAAAUCAGUGGCACCCAACUCCCUGAAAGUCAUUUCAGUGAUGAGAUUUCCUCCCCCAGUUCCAACACAGGCUUUGGAAGAGGAAGCCACCCUCUGUCCCCAGGGCCCAUCUGACGCCAGGGAUACAGCCUGGUGCUGCAGCAAGAGCAUGGGCCAGCGUGGGCCUGAAUUCACAUCCCAACCCUGCUACUUAGCAGCUGUGAGGUCCAGUUCCCUUGUCUGUAAAAUGAGGAUAGGCGUAUCCACCUCUGCAAAGAUUAUUAAAGAACAUUUGUGAAGAAGGCAAAGGCAUUCUGCAAAUGUUUGUUUCGUCUCCCCUCCAGCCCCCAAGCCUCUCUGGCAACUGAAAUUCACCAUUAGCAGCAGAGCUAUCCCCAGACUCCUCUUUAAAAUGCAUGGAACUGGGAAGAGAGGGAAGGUCGUUAAGUCCACCUGAGAGGAAGCCCAUGCAGAGUGCUGACUCUCACAGCUGUAGGAUGGAACUGAUGAUGGCUUUGUUAUUGAGUUACUGACACCUGAGAAAAGCGGGACUGGCAAGGCCUUCAAAAUAAGAUUCUGGACCCACUCCCUUAUUUUAAAGGAGAAAGGCAGAGUGGGGAGCUGCUGGCCCAAGGUCACCUGGAGAGUCAGGGGCUGGUAGAGGUAGGCUUAGAUCCACUUUGCCUGAGAUUCUGCUUCCUUCAUGUCAGGAGAGACAGGUCGGGGGACAGAGGCCUGACAGGAAAGUCCUGUCAGGUCCUGGCACCUGGAGCAGUCCCUGGCACAUAGUGGGCAUGCCAUAAGGAUGUAUUGAAUGAAUGAGUGAGUGAAUGAAUGAAUGGGGUAGCAGGAAGACAAAGCUUUCCUUCCAGGGCAGGAGGUUGUCUCUGUGAGACACUGGUCACCUUGACAAGGGGCCGUCACAGCCUCCCCAGGGCUGAGUCCACAUGUCCACUUUGCCUCCUCCAGAUGGCAGCUAGGGGAGACAGGGAGGGGAUUGUUCAGCAAAUGGGAUCAGAGCUGCAGCCAGAGGGAUGGAGGUUAGACAGCAGGAGAGUUAUUUGAAGGAGGCAGGGAGGCUGGCGGAACUGAGUCACACUCGCUCAGAGCCUGGAACAUUUGCAGGCAAAGGGCAGCUCUGCUCCUCAGAGGUAGACCACGCUCACUUCUGGCUGCUCAGGAUCCUGUUGCCAUGGAGAUACCAAGGCUUCUCUGAGAGCUUUAGAGGGCCUGAUUGAGGACCUUCCUGCUCAUCCUUGCAGCCAAGAUGCAGGCCUGGCAGAGCCAGUCUCCUGAUGACUCAUCGUCCCUUCAGAGGUUUCCUGGACCCCUACUCAAGAAAACACUGGGCUGUGCCUCUCAAGUACAGCGAUGAACAGGUGUUCUUUGGCAGGUGUUUCCAUGACCGGAGGGUGUUUCUGAGCUGUGGAGGACUCUCCCUGUCAGCUCACAAGAGACCUGCACAGCUUCCCUGCACUCCCCAACCCUCUGCCAAGGCUGAGAAGUUAUUAGGAGUCCAUGGGCCCCAGUUCUCUUCAACCAUGUCCCAGCAAGAGGCUCCAGACCAGGUGCAGGGGACCACCAGCUUCCAUUCCUGCAAUCCAUUCCCAGGGUCCCUAACCCAGGCAGUGUUCAGUGAAUCCCUGCCAGAAGCAGGUGGAGACGCCUGUUCUAUAUUUUAUUUAGCCACUAAUUGCCUGCAUUUAAAAGGCACCACAGUGCCACAGUCGUCCUCUGUUUCAUGCCCUGAUGCGUGUUUCUGCAUGAAGGGACACUGGGGCAAGGGAACCAGUAAGCGAGGGGCCACGGUCUCCCCAAUGGCAGCUCUAAAAGCCUGACCCCAGCACUGAGUGCCAGAGGAUGUCAGGUUGUCACCCUGAGAAAUGAGAGGGGGCGUGCAGGGGCUGGGGCCUCUGUAGAAAGAAGGAGAGGGGUCAGGGCCCUGGCCAAGGGCCAGGAAGGAGUGUUGGGGGAGCACUUCAUGUCCCCACUCACCCCCAGGAUGAGGACCCAGCUGACAGAGCCCUACCCAGAAUGAUUGGAGGCCUCUGCAAUAAACAGCUGCCUGGAAAAGAACACAGCACAGGUCUUGGUCACAUCUGCUGUGAUCAGGAAGGAGGUGACACGUGAGCCUUGCCUGAGCCAACAGCAAGAGAUGACAGUUGAAGGAGAUGAGGGCAAGGAGGGGAAAGUGGAGGUAAGUGGAUGAGACAGAUGGUUGGUGGCAGGUGCCUUUUGAGAUGGAGCUUCCCUGGUGGCCUAGCAGUAAAGAAUCCGCCUGCAAUGCAGGAGAUGUGGGUUCGAUUCCUGGGUUGAGAAGAUCCGCUGGAGAAGGAAAUGG